UACGGAGGGUGCAAACGUUGCUCGGAAUCAUUGGGCGUAAAGCGCACGUAGGCGGCUCGUUAAGUCGGAUGUGAAAGCCCUUGGCUUAACCGGGGAAGUGCAUCCGAAACUGGCGAGCUAGAGUACGAAAGAGGAUCGCGGAAUUCCCGGUGUAGAGGUGAAAUUCGUAGAUAGUCGGGAGGAACGACCGGUGGCGAAGGCGGCGAUCUGGGUCGAUACUGACGCUGAGGUGCGAAAGCGUGGGGAGCAAACAGG
rnacentral:rRNA from 1 species